rnacentral:rRNA from 1 species
UACGGGGGGAGCAAGCGUUGUUCGGAAUCACUGGGCGUAAAGGGAGUCUAGGCGGUUUGGUAAGUGGGAUGUGAAAUCCCCGGGCUCACCCCGGGACCUGCAUCCCAAACUGCUGAGCUUGAGUACAGGAGAGGGUGGGGGAAUUCCAGGUGUAGCGGUGAAAUGCGUAGAUAUUGGGAGGAACACCAGUGGCGAAGGCGGCUCACUGGACCGGUACUGACGCUGAUGCGCGAAAGCGUGGGGAGCAAACGGG